AUUGAACGCUGGCGGCAGGCCUAACACAUGCAAGUCGAACGAGUGGCGGACGGGUGAGUAAUGUAUGGGAAACCGCCUGAUGGAGGGGGAUAACUACUGGACACGGUAGCUACUACCGCAUACCCUCAGAUGUGCCCAGAUGGGAUUAGCUAGUUGGAGGGGUAACGGCUCACCAAGGCGACGAUCCCUAGCUGGUCUGAGAGGAUGACCAGCCACACUGGAACUGAGACACGGUCCAGACUCCUACGGUAGGCAGCAGUGGGGAAUAUUGCACAAUGGGCGCAAGCCUGAUGCAGCCAUGCCGCGUGUAUUAAGAAGGCCUUCGGGUUGUAAAGUACUUUCAGCGGGGAGGCGUUACCCGCAGAAGAAGCACCGGCUAACUCCGUGCCAGCCGCCGCGGUAAUAC
rnacentral:rRNA from 1 species